AUGGCCAAUAGGCACAUAAAAAAUGCUCAACAUCACCAAUUAUUAGAGAAAUACAAAUCAAAACUACAAUGAGGUAUCAUCUCAUACUGGUCACAACGGCCAUCAUUAACAAAUUUACAAAUAACGAAUGCUAGAGCGGCUGUGGAGAAAAGGGAACCCUCCUACAUUCUUGUUGGGAAUGUAAAUUGGUACAACCACUGUGGGAAAUAGUAUGGAGGUUCCUCAGAAAACUACAGAAGAUAGAAUUAUAUGUGAUCUAGCAAUCCCACUCUUGGGGAUAUAUCCAGACAAAACUAUAAUUCAAAAAGAUAUAUGCGCCCCUAUGUUCAUAACACACAAUUUAUAAUAGCCAAGCCAUGGAAACAACAUAAAUGUUCAUCAACAGAUGAAUGAUUUAAGAAGAUGUGCUCCAUAUGUACAAUGGAAUACUAUUCAGCCGUAAAAAUAAUGACGUAAUGCCAUUUGUAGCAACAUGGAUGCAACUAGAGAUUAUCAUACUAAGUGAAGUAAGUCAUAUAGAGAAAGACAAAUACCAUUUGAUAUAAAUCAUAUGUAGGAACUAAACUAUGACACAAGUGAACCUGUCACAAAACAGAAACAAACUCAUGGACAAGGAGAACAGACUUUUUGUUGCCAAGUGGAGGUGGGGAAGGAUGGAAUGGAAGGUUGGAAUUACCAGCUGUAAGCUUUAUAUAUGGAGGGACAAACAAGGUCCUACUGUAUAGUACAGAGAAAUACAUUCAAUGUUCUAUGACAAACCAUAUAAAAGAGUAUAUACAUAUGUAUAACUGAAUCACUUUGCUGUAUAGCAGAAAUUAACACAACAUUGUAUAUCAAUUACACUUCGAUUAAAAAAAAAAAAACAUGGCUACCAUGCAGUAUGUAUUGAGCACCUGCUAUGUGUGAGGAACUUAAAAUUAUAUCUCACAAAUCUCUGCAAAAAAAAAUCUUAAAUUUACCAAUGAGGAAAUUAAGCCUUAUAUAAAAUAAUUUGUCAUCAAGUAAUGGUUUAGCAAACAUUUGAACACAGAUAUUUUAACUUAUUUCAAAGUCUGAACACUUUCUAUUUUAUCCACUCUCUUUAAGGUAGUAUGUGUCAUCUUGAUUUAAUCUAAUAAAUAACUCAUCACUGGAUAAGAACUAAACUCAGGAACUGUGUAGCUAUGUGUUAUUAUUAGAAAACAAUUCAUAAAUUUCAGUAAUUAAAUAUGUUUGUUGUUAUAGUAUACAGUGACAAAAAUCUGUGUCUACAGAAAUUGAGUAAAUGUGUACUUGUCCUCUGAAGGAUAUACUUAGGUUUCGAAUACAUGAAUUAUUUUUUGUGCUGAUGCCAAACAAUUACUUCAUGGUUGUAACAAAUGACUAGAAAGGUCAAAUUUAUGGCUCACGUAUGUAUUUUGCAUUACUCUAUGAACUUCUUGCACAAGGAAGAGAAAUAUUCUUCAUAGAGAAUGAAUACAUCUCCUUGGGAGAGCUCCAUUACUAUGUUUCCGUUAGAAUAAUCACAAGCCACUGUUAUCUUCUUUAUCAGCAUGAGAUCCCCUCAAGCGCUGUUUUGUCCUCAGCAGUAUAAAAGAGUUCCCUAGUACUCUUCUCUCUUCUGGUGGCCUCCUUACCUGGUCAACCCGCAAAUCUCACUUUACACCCUGUGAUGAUGCUCUGUAUUUUCCCUUAUACUGUCUUACAUUUUCUGGGGAUGAGGUGGGGGACCAACUAAGGGAGUGAUACCGGUGUAGUCUUUAUUUCUGCUGAAAGCAGUACAGAUAGUGGUGAGUAAAAGUCAAACCCUCAGGAGUUCCUGUUGUGGCUCAGCAUGUUAAGUACUUGACAUAGUGUCCUUGAGGAUGUAUGGUCCAUCCCCGGCCUUGCUCAGUGAGUUAAGGAUCUGGCUUGGAUCUUGUGUUGCUAUGGUGUGGGCCUACAGCUGCAGCUUGGAUUCAACCCCUAGCGCAGGAACUUCCAUACGCUGCAGCUGUGACCAUAAAAAGAAAAAAAAAAAAAGUUAAACACUCCUGUUUCCAGUCACAUCACUAUUUUCUGAUGGCUGACUCC
rnacentral:lncRNA from 1 species